UUAUUAUUUCUUAAAAAUUUUUUUACUAUCAGGAAUAGGUGUUGAAUUUGCUCCUUUUCUUCUCAGUAUCUAUUAAGAUGACAAUUUAAGUUUUCUCCUCAGAUCAGUUCACUUAGUCAAUAAUAUGGGGAGGAGGGAAGCAGCACCCUUUCUGAUUCACACAAGGGCAUCAUGGUGUUCCUGUUUCCCUGGCCAUUCCUCUGCCUGGAAUUCUCUUCCCCUGGUAUCAGCACGGCUUACUCUUACUUCCUUUACUUGUUUGCUCAAGAUAACUUUUCAGUUCACUAUCCUAACUAUCCUAUUUAAAUGGCACAUUUCUAUUCUUUAUUGGCCCUUAUAGAUCCUCCCACCCUGUUUUUUUCCCCCGCACUUAUCAUUUUCUAUAUAUUAUAUAUUUGCUUAUUGUGUUUAUUAUGUGUUGUCUGUCUCCAUUAGAACUAUGCUCCACGAGGUAGGGAGUUUUGUCCUUUAAAAAAAUUUUUGUUGACUGAUACAUUUUUAAUUCCUAGAGCAAUGCCUGCCAAACAGUAAGAAAAUUUUUAAGUGAAUGGAUGAGACUGGAGCUUAUCAAGAAUGGAAAAAGAAUGCAGUAUCAGUCAUUUAAUAAAAAGUAGUAGCUACAAUGGCAAGUUCUAAGUUUUUGUUAAUGAGCCAUUCUGAUAAUAGAAAGGUAGAGGAGAAGAUUUAAUUUCCUGGGAAUGAAGAUCAACAUGUGACACUGAUUUCCUGGUUUCUUUCUUCAUGAUAUUUUUAAGGUCAGACCUUCAACAAUAAAGAUAAAGAUCCUAGGAAUGAAGGAUGGAGGAAGAGUGUGGGAAGAUCAAGAGAGCUUCAGAAAUUGAUGUGUCUCUGGGCCUUGCUUCCUGUCCCAACCCCUGGAGAGCUUCAGGCACUGCUUGCUUUGAUUAUCUCAGUAUUAUUUGCAUUCCCUGCCUGCACAUCAAGAGAGAGUUCCAGAGUCGGAGACCUCAGGUCAGAGACAAUGAAUUUCCUUUGUGGCGUACGGCCUCAAGAAAAGAUGACAAACACUUCAAUUAGCCUUCCCUCCAAUCACCAUUCGGGGAGAAGUGUGUGGGGAGAAAUUCUCCGACCUCAGUGGAAAACAUCGCGGGCGGGCAGGGAGCAGCUGGCAGAGCAUCGACACGGUUCACAAACACGCUAGAGGCACUGGCUGUGACAGACAAAGCCUGCCUUUUGGGGAAGACACGUGAAGCCCACUCCUCUAAGUGUUUCCUCUGGAGUCACACCACAGGGCUGUCUUCUUCUUUGCUUUCAGCCACAGCCGCUGACUUGAGGAGAUGUGUCAGCUUUGUCUUUCCUGCUGCAGAGCUCAUUCGGCUGCUGGGCCAUCUUUCGGGACUGGGCACCUGAAGAUGGAUGUGGCGAGGAAGGAACUGGAGAGCGCAGACAGGCAGGCAUCUGAGAAGUCGGCCUCCUGGGCCAGGUGCUCGAAGAUGAAGGGCUCGCUUCCCGCACAUGCGGUUGUGCCACCUCGGCCAUCCCGGUGAGGCCCAACGCGGAUUUUCAGGUGAGCGGCUGAAACCACUCGUUUGUGCAGUUCAGCUAAUACCCUAUUAUCUGACAGAAUGAAAAUGAGGGGAGAAGAGGGGGAAGGAGACCCUCUACUCAGAAGUAUGCCUUUUGCUCAAUCAACAUUCUCAUUUAUGAAGUGACGAUGAGGUUAUUCAUCCCAAGUGAUAGCAGAAGGAUAAAUAAAAGCAACAUAUGCAAAAAAGUCCACCAGGGCUCCGGCCCACAGAAGAUACGCGGUCACCUGGUGUGAAUCUAAACCUCGCUCCUGGUGCCGGAGCCAGUCGCAGCCUGCGGGGGCAGGGGCAGCUCCAGGGCUUGGCGGGAAGCCCAUCGUCACUUCCAGCUGCACCAGUUCCCACAGUCACAUGUGUGACCCUGUGCCCGAGGCGGCCAUCCCGACUGAGUCCAGCAUGCUAGUUACUAAGCCGAGUGCCUCUCAGCUUCAGAUCCAUCCUUCUGUUCUCCAGUCUGGGACUCUGGAAACGGCAUUUUUCUCUUGAUAGCUGGUUCUCUGUGAGAAUCAGCCCGUAGAGAAAACUAGAGGAAGACAGGAAGGCGGGAAGAGGAGAGCACAUCCGUGCACGUGGUUCCCGACGCCAGCUUGCCCCUGCGCGCCCCACAGCAGCCUCCGUGUCCGCGCCGCCCCAGCACAGACGUCAGCACCAGCCGGCCGUGCCCCUUCUCAGGUGUCCGAGUGCCAGCUCCGUGGAAUGUCUCCUCAAGUUUCUAGGUUCUGAUAACCCUGUGUUCUCCCUGUGUUUUCCUCACCUGAGAAACGAUGGGGGCUUUCCGUAGUUAACAUUGCUACAUUAUUGUGGUGUGCCCUUUUUGCCUUUUUACUUCUUGAGCCCUUAGAGUACUGUACACACCCUGAUGCAUGUUGCUUUUUGCACAUUACACUGUAUCUUGCAGGUAUUUGUGCAUAGAGGCCUUCCUCAGUUCAUUAUAUUAGCUGCAUAGAAUUUCUUUAGGUUGAUGUCUCUGCGUAGAAUUUCUUUAGGUUGAUGUGUCAUUAUUUAACUAGUCUCUUAUUGGUGGACGUUUGGUUUAUUUCAGUAUUUCGCCAGUUCACACAAUGCUUCAAUGAAUGACACAGCAACGUUACAUACCCAUACAUCAUUUUGCAUACGUGCAAGUUUAUCUGUAGGACACAUUUUCUGAAGUGACCUUGCCAGGAUCUAAGAAGGACAUACUCAUUUGGAUGUUGCCAAACUGCCCUCCGCAGGGACUGUACCAGUUUACACUCAUGCUAACAACAUAUGGGAAUAUCUGCUUCCCCUCAGCUUCCCCAGCAGAGUGUUAUAAAUCACUUCUGGAGUCAAUAAAGUGAGUCUUUCAUUGA